rnacentral:lncRNA from 1 species
GAACAUGCUUUCUCAGCGCUUGCGGCUUCGUCUUCAGAUCUUUGUUCGCUAGACGCUGGACGAAUGUUAGGGACGAAGGUACGUAGAUCGAUGUUUCGCUCAGCGAUUUGAACCCCAAGUGUAUAGAAUCGUGUUGAUGUUCCCUUUCGAUUUGAACGUCGUCAAGGUAAUCGAGCUCCUUUGUGCGGGUUUCCGAUUUCCCAGUUUCCGGAGUUGACGAGAAGGAACGAUCUCUGGUCGAUCUUCUUCUGCAAUUGUUCGCCGGCCUCGUGCACUUGUUUGAGUAUGUUUUCCGAUGUACC